CUUCUGUGCCUGGGUCUGCCUGUCUCUCUGCUUCUGAAAAUGCUGGAGGUAGAGGACGUGCGAAUAUUCCCCCUCCUCUUCUGAGAGAGACUGAUCUGCCUGCGACUGCAUUCUUCAGAUCCAGACCAUUCCCUGACAAUAGAGCGGUUGCUGAACAGCUUGGUAGGUUUCUGGAGGAAACAUCAGCUUUAGAUCCAUUUCAGUCCGGGUUCCGUCCUGGUUUGGGGACUGAGACGGCUCUGUUUGCCCUAACAGAUGAUCUCCGUAGACAACUGGAUCGAGGCGGGUCAGAACUGCUGAUUCUCUAAGAUUUGUCAGCAGCCUUUGACGUGGUCAAUCAUGAUCUUCUGGACCACCGCCUCACCGAUGUGGGGAUACAGGGCAUAGCCCGAAAAUGGCUGUGCUCCUUUAUCUCUGGUCAGGGACAGAGGGUGUCACUAGGGAGGGAGAUGUCGUUGCGCCACUCCUUGGUGUGUGGAGUGCCACAGGGCGCAAUCCUCUUAAGGACGCUUGGACGGUCCGUGUCUCUCCGUCACUGCCCAGCACAGUUAGCGAUGGCCACCAAGGCACAAACUUCACAUGACUUCUCUUUGUGUUGAACAGAGCCAGUGCCAGUACCAUGGAUACUCUAUCGUGUAUACUCCAAUACUCGAGAAGGCUGCAAUGUGAACCUGUGGUGUCAGGUACCUCGUCAGGGAAAGUACCAUAUCUCCUGGGAAAGAGGCAAUCUUUCCAGGGCCUCAGCAGGAGGUUCAUCUAAGUACCAGCUUUUGUACAACAGCAGUGAACUCUGUGUCUCCUGGAGAAAAGGCUCCCCUGACUCCACCUUCACGUGCUUGGCUAACAAUCCUGCGGAUCAAAACGAAGCCUCAAUUGACUUGCUCAACAUCUGCACAAGCAUUGAAUGAGAGAAAGGUGUCCUAACCUUCACAUUGCUGUUAGGAUAUAGUUCCGUUCCACCUUAACAGGGAACAGGCAUGACUGUUGUGUGUCACAUGCCUGUUUACAUUCCAGCAGUCUGCUGGGAAUUUCUGUUUUGUAUAUUGCUUUUGCUUUGCUGCUGUUUUGCUGGAGAUGAAGGGAAACAGACAUGUUUUCCUUUGUUCCUGAACUAUGCUGAAUAAACGCUUGUCAAAUAAUGCUUA